rnacentral:rRNA from 1 species
GCCGGGGGCGCCUAAAGUCCGUGACCGUAAGGAGCGGCCUAGGGCGAAACUGGUAAUUGGGGCUAAGUCGUAACAAGGUAGCCGUACCGGAAGGUGCGGCUGGAACACCUCCUUUCUGGAGAGAC